rnacentral:rRNA from 1 species
AGAGUUUGAUCAUGGCUCAGGAUGAACGCUAGCUACAGGCUUAACACAUGCAAGUCGAGGGGAAACGACAUCGAAAGCUUGCUUUUGAUGGGCGUCGACCGGCGCACGGGUGAGUAACGCGUAUCCAACCUGCCCAUCACUUGGGGAUAACCUUGCGAAAGUAAGACUAAUACCCAAUGAUAUCUCUAGAAGACAUCUGAAAGAGAUUAAAGAUUUAUCGGUGAUGGAUGGGGAUGCGUCUGAUUAGCUUGUUGGCGGGGUAACGGCCACCAAGGCUACGAUCAGUAGGGGUUCUGGAGAGGAAGGUCCCCCANAUUGGAACUGAGACACGGUCCAAACUCCUACGGGAGCA